rnacentral:rRNA from 1 species
CCCUUAGAUGUUCUGGGCCGCACGCGUGCUACACUGAGUGGAUCAGCGGGUCAGGUUGCGCGAAAGCGUUUCCUAAUCUUUAAAUCCGCUCGUGAUGGGGAUUGACGGUUGCAAUUUUCUGUCAUGAACGAGGAAUACCUUGUAAGCGCGGGUCAUCAUCCCGCGCUGAAUACGUCCCUGCCCUUUGUACACACCGCCCGUCGCUCCUACCGAUUGAGUGGUCCGGUGAGGCUUUGGGAUCUGAGCGGAAAGAGCGUUUCGCUGUUUCUGCUCGGAAAACUCAGUCGAACCUUAUCAUUUAGAGGAAGGAGAAGUCGUAACAA